UCCACUAUGCGAGAAUGGUUAAUCGGAUUGUUUGAUAAGCAAUUUUGUGUAGGUUCAAUUCCUACUGGUGGAACCA
rnacentral:tRNA from 1 species